AUUGAACGCUGGCGGCAGGCCUAACACAUGCAAGUCGAACGAGUGGCGGACGGGUGAGUAAUGUCUGGGAAACUGCCUGAUGGAGGGGGAUAACUACUGGAAACGGUAGCUAAUAACGCAUACCAUCGGAUGUGCCCAGAUGGGAUUAGCUUGUUGGUGGGGUAACGGCUCACAAAGGCGACGAUCCCUAGCUGGUCUGAGCGGAUGACAGGCCAGACUGGCACUGAGACACGGUCCAGACGCCUACGGGAGGCAGCGGUGGGGAAUAUUGCACAAUGGGCGCAAGCCUGAUGCAGCCAUGCCGCGUGUAUGAAGAAGGCCCUAGGGGUGUAAAGUACUUUCAGUCGGGAGGCGUUACCGACAGAAGAAGCACCGGCUAACUCCGUGCCAGCCGCCGCGGUAAUUC
rnacentral:rRNA from 1 species